rnacentral:lncRNA from 1 species
CCCUAUGUUCUAUUUUUAGCCAUGGUGGCCAUCUUGGUUGGUUGGCCGGGUCACCGGACACAUUUUUUAAACUAGAUACCCCAAUGAUGAUUGUGGCCAAGUUUGGUUUAAUUUGGCCCAGUAGUUUCAGAGGAGAAGAUUUUUGUAAAAGUUAACGACGACGGACGACGGACGACGGACGCAAUGUGAUGGGAAAAGCUCACUUGGCCC